rnacentral:rRNA from 1 species
CACGGACCGCACGAACGUUAUUCGGUAUCACUGGGCUUAAAGGGUGCGUAGGCGGCCUAGCAAGUUGGGUGUGAAAGCCCUCGGCUCAACCGAGGAAUUGCGCUCAAUACUGUUGGGCUCGAGAGAGACAGAGGUAAGCGGAACUAAUGGUGGAGCGGUGAAAUGCACAGAUAUAUAGAAGAACAUCAAUAAAGGCGAAGGCAGUUAACUAUUCUGUUACUGACGCUGAGGCACGAAAGCGUGGGGAGCAAAACGG